rnacentral:rRNA from 1 species
AGUGGAGCCUGCGGUUUAAUCGGACUCAACGCCGGGAAACUCACCAGAUAAGACAGCUGAAUGAUAGUCGGGCUGAAGACUCUACUUGACUAGCUGAGAGGAGGUGCAUGGCCGUCGUCAGUUCGUACUGUGAAGCAUCCUGUUAAGUCAGGCAACGAGCGAGACCCACGCCAACAGUUGCCAGCAUGUCCUCCGGGAUGAUGGGGACACUGUUGGGACCGCCUCUGCUAAAGAGGAGGAAGGAAUGGGCAACGGUAGGUCAGCAUGCCCCGAAUUAUCCGGGCUACACGCGGGCUACAAUGGUCAGGACAAUGGGUAUCGACACCGAGAGGUGGAGGCAAUCUCCUAAACCUGUCCUUAGUUCGGAUUGUGGGCUGCAACUCGCCCACAUGAAGCUGGAAUCCGUAGUAAUCGCGUUUCAAAAUAGCGCGGUGAAUAUGUCCCUGCUCCUU